UGGGGAAUAUUGCACAAUGGAGGGAACUCUGAUGCAGCGACGCCGCGUGAACGAAGAAGGCUUUCGAGUCGUAAAGUUCUUUUAUAUGGGAAGAUAAUGACGGUACCAUAAGAAAAAGCCCCGGCUAACUACGUGCCAGCAGCCGCGGUAAUACGUAGGGGGCUAGCGUUGUCCGAAAUCACUGGGCGUAAAGGGUUCGCAGGCGGAAAUGCAAGUCAGGUGUAAAAGGCAGUAGCUUAACUACUGUAAGCAUUUGAAACUGCAUAUCUUGAGAAGAGUAGAGGUAAGUGGAAUUUUUAGUGUAGCGGUGAAAUGCGUAGAUAUUAAAAAGAAUACCGGUGGCGAAGGCGACUUACUGGGCUCAUUCUGACGCUGAGGAACGAAAGCGUGGGUAGCAAACAGG
rnacentral:rRNA from 1 species